rnacentral:rRNA from 1 species
UACGAAGGGGGCUAGCGUUGCUCGGAAUUACUGGGCGUAAAGCGCACGUAGGCGGCUUCUUAAGUCGGUGGUGAAAUCCUGGAGCUCAACUCCAGAACUGCCUUCGAUACUGGGAAGCUUGAGUCCGGGAGAGGUGAGUGGAACUGCGAGUGUAGAGGUGAAAUUCGUAGAUAUUCGCAAGAACACCAGUGGCGAAGGCGGCUCACUGGCCCGGUACUGACGCUGAGGUGCGAAAGCGUGGGGAGCAAACAGG